UACAGAGGGUGCGAGCGUUGUCCGGAAUCACUGGGCGUAAAGGGCGCGUAGGUGGCGACCCAAGUCUGUGGUGAAAGCUCGCCGCUUAACGGCGAGUCGGCCACGGAUACUGGGUGGCUCGAGCACUGUAGGGGCAGAUGGAAUUCCGGGUGUAGCGGUGGAAUGCGUAGAUAUCGAGAGGAACACCUGCGGCGAAAGCGGCGCACUGGACCACAACUGACGCUGAGGCGCGAAAGCUAGGGGAGCAAACAGG
rnacentral:rRNA from 1 species